UUGCUUUGGCAGCACAUACACUAAAAUUGAAACAACUCAGAGAAAACUAGCAUGGCCCCUGCACAUGAUUCACGCCCAAAUUUGUGAAGCAUUCCAUAUUUUU
rnacentral:snRNA from 1 species